AUGGACUGAAGAUGAAUGCCCCACAUUACAGUGGAACUUCGGGUAACUGUCCAGGAUCCCAUAGAGUCACUGUUGGCCCAUUUCAGCAGGAAGUAACUAAGAAAAACAACGACCCCUUUCCCUACUGCUAAGGUACCGAGCUAUUCCUGAGAGUUUGUUGGGCACUGAUGACACUCCAUCUGGAGUUCAUUCUCUCCUCGGCUGCUGGCCUCUUGGGCAAAGAACUACUCCCACCUCGACCACAUGCUGUCCUAACUGGGCCUGCAGGAGAUAAACUUAAAGAAGAAUGCUUAACCUUGCCAAGUCAGGCCCAUACAGGUUGCCUUUCUGGAUUCCACAUAUAUAUUAGUUUAUGUGAUGUCUCUUUCUGUGUCUGACUUAUUUAUAUAAUUAUAAUGUUCUCUUGGUAUACCCAUGUUGUAACAAAUAAUGGAAAAUUCCUUCUUGUAUAAGACAGAACAGUAUUCCAUAGCAUGUAUAUACCAUAUAUUUCUAAUGCAUUGGACCACUGAUUCCAUAGCCUGACUAGGAUAAAUUGUGCAGUAGUAAUUAAGCAUAUUUUCAAAAAAUUGUUGGUCAGCAGUUUUUUGUUUCUUUUGCCUGAUUUCAUAGGUUAUAUUUUUCUAAUAAAAAUUAGAUUUCUCUAGAAUGAUUAGCUCUUUUGUAGUAUACUGUCUUCUAAGCAUAUGCUCAUUUACAAGCAGCCCAAUGUCAGAGGCCCACUUAAAGGGCCAAUUUUCUGACAUCACUCUUGGUAUUAACUAUGAUAAUACUGGUAAAUCCAGUAAUAAUUAGGUAGCACAUUCAAAAAGGGAGCUUGAAGAGUUUCAUGAAGAAUGUAUUCACAUAGGUGUGCAUAUCCUUAGGAAGAACUCUCUCUCUUGCUGUAUAUUUUGAUGAUGCCCACAUCUGUGUGAAAGUGGUAUCUACAGAAGCAGGUUUGGCGAGUAAGAAUAGGAACAUAAAUGUCUUUUCUAACUGCUUGCUGAAACCACUGAGGUCCAACUGAUAAAGACAUUAAAAUCAGCCCAUCGAGGCACAAGACAGAGUCAAGAAAGAUGGCAAAGAGUCAGGAAGGGCAAACAGGUGAGGCAUCACAAACAUUAACCACAAUGCUGCACAUAAUAGAUUCUGAAAAUACAGACUGAAUGAAGCCAAUCAACUUGCUCAAAGUCAUUGAGCAAGACUAAAGUAAAGUAGGGAUCCAGAAAUAUCAAUACACACCACAAUCUCUAGAUGCCCAGCACAAUAUUCUUGUCAUUUUAUGAGAUUGAUGCUCUCAGUUAUUGGCCUUGUUUUGCAGGCUUACUAAAUUAAAGCAGAGAAAUAUCACUUUUUGGACAGAAUAUUGGAAGAUCAGAAGUGAUAACAGUCCUUUCAAUAAGGUAACCAUGCCUUUGCAGAGAAAUAUAGUGACACCAGUGCUUAUUAACCCUUCAUGAACAUAGAAGACAAUCAUUAUCUAGUACAAAAAAUACCCACCAUUGCCUUCUGAAGCUGGUCUACUGAGUGAUUGGUUACAUUUGUGCCAUUGAUUUCUAGAAUCUCAUCCCCCACGUGAAGGGAGCCUGCCAUUAAACAAACAAACAAAAAACAUCAAUGCACAAAAGAAUAAAAAUUCAAACAAGAGCUGUCAGUGUAGCUCAAGAAUACCACACAAAAUAAACCACAAUCUAGGGCAUUUUAUAAAAUAAACUCAGUUAUUAGAAAUAUUUAACUAAGAGAGAUUAAAAAAUAUGGUUCUGGAUCCAUCUAGGACAGUUCAAUACUGCCACAUUCUUCUUGAUAUCAGUCAUCCAAGAGCUUCAUAAAAGCAUCUCAUCCUUGAAUUCCUGGAAUUAGAACAGCUGCCAACCCAGGAGACAAUUAUCCAGCAGUCCUGUCAGUGUGUUUCUGUGCUGUAAGGAAGGGGCCGGCUGCUGUUCCCAUGCUGUGUUGACCAAAGCAAACCUGAGAUCAGCUGAUAUCCUGUUGAUAGCUACUUCAACAAACCGUAUUUUGGGCCUUUGUUUUUGUAUAUAAAGAAAGUAAUAAAAAAAUAAAGAGUA